CGUAAGGCCUCGCGCGAUUGGAGCGGCCGAUGUCAGAUUAGGUAGUUGGUGGGGUAAAGGCCCACCAAGCCGACGAUCUGUAACUGGUCUGAGAGGACGACCAGUCACACUGGGACUGAGACACGGCCCAGACUCCUACGGGAGGCAGCAGUGGGGAAUUUUGGACAAUGGGCGCAAGCCUGAUCCAGCAAUGCCGCGUGCAGGAUGAAGGCCUUCGGGUUGUAAACUGCUUUUGUACGGAGCGAAAAGCCUUGGGCUAAUACCCUAGGGUCAUGACGGUACCGUAAGAAUAAGCACCGGCUAACUACGUGCCAGCAGCCGCGGUAAUACGUAGGGUGCGAGCGUUAAUCGGAAUUACUGGGCGUAAAGCGUGCGCAGGCGGUUAUGUAAGACAGAGGUGAAAUCCCCGGGCUCAACCUGGGAACUGCCUUUGUGACUGCAUAGCUAGAGUACGGCAGAGGGGGAUGGAAUUCCGCGUGUAGCAGUGAAAUGCGUAGAUAUGCGGAGGAACACCGAUGGCGAAGGCAAU
rnacentral:rRNA from 1 species